UAGUUUUAUAGUUUUCACG
rnacentral:miRNA from 1 species